rnacentral:rRNA from 1 species
UACGUAGGGGGCAAGCGUUGUCCGGAAUUAUUGGGCGUAAAGGGCUCGUAGGCGGUCCGUCACGUCGGGAGUGAAAACUCAGGGCUCAACCCUGAGCGUGCUUCCGAUACGGGCGGACUAGAGGUAUGCAGGGGAGAACGGAAUUCCUGGUGUAGCGGUGGAAUGCGCAGAUAUCAGGAGGAACACCGGUGGCGAAGGCGGUUCUCUGGGCAUUACCUGACGCUGAGGAGCGAAAGCUAGGGGAGCAAACAGG